GAUGAACGCUGGCGGCGUGCCUAAUACAUGCAAGUCGAGCGAACAGAUGAGGCGCUUGCUCCUCUGACGUUAGCGGCGGACGGGUGAGUAACACGUGGAUAACCUACCUAUAAGACUGGGAUAACUUCGGGAAACCGGAGCUAAUACCGGAUAAUAUAUUGAACCGCAUGGUUCAAUAGUGAAAGACGGUUUUGCUGUCACUUAUAGAUGGAUCCGCGCCGCAUUAGCUAGUUGGUAAGGUAACGGCUUACCAAGGCAACGAUGCGUAGCCGACCUGAGAGGGUGAUCGGCCACACUGGAACUGAGACACGGUCCAGACUCCUACGGGAGGCAGCAGUAGGGAAUCUUCCGCAAUGGGCGAAAGCCUGACGGAGCAACGCCGCGUGAGUGAUGAAGGUCUUCGGAUCGUAAAACUCUGUUAUUAGGGAAGAACAAAUGUGUAAGUAACUAUGCACGUCUUGACGGUACCUAAUCAGAAAGCCACGGCUAACUACGUG
rnacentral:rRNA from 1 species